rnacentral:rRNA from 1 species
CACACCAUAAACGAUGGAUACUUGUUGUUGGAGGUAUUGACCCCUUCAGUGACGCAGUUAACACGGUAAGUAUCCCGCCUGGGGAGUACGGUCGCAAGAUUAAAACUCAAAGAAAUUGACGGGGGCCCGCACAAGCGGUGGAGUAUGUGGUUUAAUUCGAUGCAACGCGAAGAACCUUACCUGGACUUGACAUGAACUGGAAGAGUGGCAGAGAUGUCCUCGCUCGCAAGAGUCGGUUCACAGGUGC